rnacentral:rRNA from 1 species
AAUCAACGCUGGCGGCGUGCCUCAGACAUGCAAGUCGAACGCGAAACCUUCCUUCGGGAGGGGAGUAGAGUGGCGCACGGGUGAGUAACACGUAGGUAAUCUACCUUUGGGUGGGGAAUAACAGCCGGAAACGGCUGCUAAUACCGCAUAAUGCAGCGGCUCGACAUCGAGACAGUUGUUAAAGCGGGGGAGUCGUAAGACCUCGCGCCUAAAGAGGAGCCUGCGGCAGANAGUCUAGUUGGUAAGGUAACGGCUUACCAAGGCGACGAUCUGUAGCCGGCCUGAGAGGGCGGUCGGCCACACUGACACUGACAUACGGGUCA